AGGGGUGGCGGGAUGGAGGGAGGGCGGCCGAGGGAAAGUCUGACACUCGGCGCAGAAGGAGCGAGACCCUCCGCUGCCGCCGCCGCCGGGGAGGAGCCGCCGCGCUCGCAACGCCUCCGACACCCGGCCCCGGCCCCGGCCCCGCCGCGCUCCGGCCGCUCUCCGGCCCCGGCAGAUAAAACUUGGAUUGUUUGAAAAGUGGAGAGAUAUUUCACCGUGGUGAAAAAGAAGAUACAGAAGAGGAGAGCAGAAUGAGAGCUUUGCAAGUGCCUCAUGCCUGCAGCUUGCUGUCUUUAGUGAUGCUGUUCCUUCCAGUCACUGGAACGUCAAAACAAAAUAUCCCAAGACUGAAGCUUUCCUAUAAAGAAUUGCACUCAGGAUGGUGUGAUGGGGCAGGCUGUAAAGCCUUCAUCAGGGCUUAUGAUACGUUUAUCAUGAGUUAACACCCAGAGGAAUUUAUUGAGUAAGCAGAAUGACAUGCUAUUUAUUUACAAGCUUCUCUUUUGCUAGAUUUGCAUGCCACUGUG